rnacentral:rRNA from 1 species
UUGGGCGAGAGUAGUACUGGCUUGGGUGACCCGCUGGGAAGUCCUCGUGUUGCACCCCUU